AACUUUCGGCAAUGGAUCUCUUGGUUCUGGCAUCGAUGAAGAGCGCAGCGAAAUGCGAUAAGUAAUGUGAAUUGCAGAAUUCAGUGAAUCAUCGAAUCUUUGAACGCACAUUGCGCCCUUUGGCAUUCCGAGGGGCAUGCCUGUUCGAGCGUCAUUACACCACUCAAGCCUGGCUUGGUAUUGGGCGGCAGGGCUUUCCCCCGCCUCAAUUUCUUAGGCUAGACGACCCGUAUCUCAGCGUUGUGGCACUAAAUUCGCUGGCGGAAAAGGGUGGUCUGCGCCGUUAAACCUUCAAUCAAGGUUGACCUCGGAUCAGGUAGGGAUACCCGCUGAACUUAAGCAUAUCAAUAAGCGGAGGCU
rnacentral:misc_RNA from 1 species